rnacentral:rRNA from 1 species
AUUGAACGCUGGCGGCAUGCCUUACACAUGCAAGUCGAACGGUAACGGGCCUUCGGGUGCCGACGAGUGGCGGACGGGUGAGUAAUACAUCGGAACGUGCCCGAUCGUGGGGGAUAACGAGGCGAAAGCUUUGCUAAUACCGCAUACGAUCUACGGAUGAAAGCCGGGGACCGCAAUGCCUUGCGCGGACGGAGCGGCCGAUGGCAGAUUAGGUAGUUGGUGGGAUAAAAGCUUACCAAGCCGACGAUCUGUAGCUGGUCUGAGAGGAUGAUCAGCCACACUGGGACUGAGACACGGCCCAGACUCCUACGGGAGGCAGCAGUGGGGAAUUUUGGACAAUGGGCGCAAGCCUGAUCCAGCCAUGCCGCGUGCAGGAUGAAGGCCUUCGGGUUGUAAACUGCUUUUGUACGGAACGAAAAGCCUUCUUUUAAUACAGGAGGGUCAUGACGGUACCGUAAGAAUAAGCACCGGCUAACUACGUG